rnacentral:piRNA from 1 species
UAUCAUUUGACUGCUUGUUGAUCUAUGGU